rnacentral:lncRNA from 1 species
GGCUACCGCCAACCGCAGGUGCACCGGGGCCUAGGGGUGCUCCCCCGCCCGGCCCUGUCGCCGGCACGGCUACCGUCGGCAAGCCGCCAGCCUUGCCCGCCCCGGCGCCCUGCUUUGGCGUCGGGCAGGGGAGGUCUGGCCAGUUGGCCCCAUGCGCCAGUGAGGAGGGAUAGGUUAGGGGCUAGGAGAAAUAGAGUUCCAGGGGAGAGGUUCGGAGAAGGUUUAAAUUUUCGGUUUUAAAUAGAUUUAAAUAUCUGCUGCACUAUUCACCAAAAAUCAUAGGAGCGCCCAAAAAUAGUGAAAUAAAUUUUAAUAGCUUUGUUUUUAUCUCCUUUACACAUUAAAAUCGUUAAGACUUAUUUGUUUAUAGAAACAUUUUGGGUAUUUAUUUACUGCCUUUAAUCAAAGGUAUUAAAUAAAUAAUAAUUCCGAAAUACAUAAAAUAUGAACUAAUGCUUUUCCAAUUACAAAUUAACCAUAAUCUAUAGUAAUUAGGAGUUUAAGGUUAGAAAAUAUUUUUGAUGCUUUUCAAAAAUAAAAGAAAAGGCUUACUUUUAAAAGAUAAAGAUUUAAGUAUUU